GUGCCAAGCAGCCGCGGUAAAACCAGCACCUCAAGUGGUCAGGAUGAUUAUUGGGCCUAAAGCAUCCGUAGCCGGCUCUGUAAGUUUUCGGUUAAAUCUGUACGCUCAACGUACAGGCUGCCGGGAAUACUGCAUAGCUAGGGAGUGGGAGAAGUAGACGGUACUCGGUAGGAAGUGGUAAAAUGCUUUGAUCUAUCGAUGACCACCUGUGGCGAAGGCGGUCUACUAGAACACGUCCGACGGUGAGGGAUGAAAGCUGGGGGAGCAAACCGGAUUAGAUACCCGGGUAGUCCCAGCUGUAAACUAUGCAAACUCAGUGAUGCAUUGGCUUGUGGCCAAUGCAGUGCUGCAGGGAAGCCGUUAAGUUUGCCGCCUGGGAAGUACGUACGCAAGUAUGAAACUUAAAGGAAUUGGCGGGGGAGCACCACAAGGGGUGAAGCCUGCGGUUCAAUUGGAGUCAACGCCAGAAAUCUUACCCGGAGAGACAGCAGAAUGAAGGUCAAACUGAAGACUUUACCAGACAAGCUGAGAGGUGGUGCAUGGCCGUCGCCAGCUCGUGCCGUGAGAUGUCCUGUUAAGUCAGGUAACGAGCGAGAUCCCUGCCUCUAGUUGCCACCAUUACUCUCAGGAGUAGUGGGGCGAAUUAGCGGGACCGCCGCAGUUAAUGCGGAGGAAGGAAGGGGCCACGGCAGGUCUGUGAUGCCC
rnacentral:rRNA from 1 species